GCUGGGCGUGGUGGCUCAUGCCUGUAAUCCCAGCACUUUGGGAGGCUGAGGUGGGUGGAUCACCUGAGGUCAGGAGUUUGAGACCAGCCUGGCCAACAUGGUGAAACCCUAUCUCUA
rnacentral:SRP_RNA from 1 species